GGGCGCUUGGCGCAGCGGGAGCGCACCUGCCUUACAAGCAGGGGGUCACUGGUUCAAAUCCAGUAGCGCCCA
rnacentral:tRNA from 1 species